ACCUGACAAAGUUUCUGUCAAUCACUGAGCUAGCUCCGCCAGAAAUCGACCACCAGCCUUUGAUUCGGAACGUUCAAUGGCCGAUCAGGAAAGAGUCGCACAGGAUGGGAAGCCAAAGGGCCUUGCCUUCCGUUCCCACAAGGAGAUGUUUGAGAAGAUGGAGGACACGUUCAGGUUCUGCGCAGCCUGCAGGAAGCUGCCCAGCCAUCUCUCAGAUAGCCGAACUCUGAAGCGCUGCAUUAAGUGUCUGAGUGUAUAUUACUGCAGUAAGGAGUGCCAGAAGGAGGACUGGCCACAGCACAAAAAGUUCUGCAAGAAGUUGCGCUUGGUGGCCAUCGACAGGCUGGUGGAGUGGCUGGUGUUUACAGGACAUCUCCCUUUCCCCACAGAGCAGUGGUCACAGCCUGCAGCCAAUGUGAAAGGCUGGGAAGACUGGUUCUCCAUGCAGGGAGACCUGAGCCCCCGCCUGGAAGUCAUCUUGUCUGGGUCGGGCAUGAAAGAUCUGUGGACAAACGCUGGCAGGCCCAGACCAGAGGAGGGAGAUCUUCGGGAGUCAGUUUGGAGGGUGACGAGCGAGUUCCUCUCCCGGCCGCUUACUCUAGGCCUGGGACUGCGUGUCUUUGGCCUGGACCCUUACACACGGCCCCUCACCAUCCACCUGGUUGGGGCGUCCCACAGUGAGACCAUGGGGGCCCGACUCACAGACUUGGAUGAACUGAGCCGAAUGUUCCCUGGUCACCAGGGUCUGGAGGUGGUGAUGGUGGGACCUGAGGUAGUGGAUGGGCCCAUUAUGAGGCCUCCUCUGACGGCCUUUGGUCCCAGAGGGAAGGUCUACAUCAGUGCCUCCAAGGGACUCUACCACCAAUUCUGGGAGGAUGUCAUAGAGAAACAGGAGGCAGCCAAACCUGACCUGGUAGUGGGGUUCCAUCCAGAUGAUGCAUGUGAUCAACUGGAUCCAGUUGGGGCUGGUCUGUGCAGUCCGCGUUCUCAGGUCUAAAUUCCAUUUACUGAUGAAGCUUGGACCAGGGGCAGUGCUAGGAAGUAGCUAAUAAAAAUAUGUUUAUCAGUAGUUUUCCAAUAUCUGUGUUUUAAUUCAUGAGCAGGUUUCCCCUCAGUAUGAAAAUGUUGCUUCAGAGAGCUUUGUGCCUUCAUAAAAACCCAUCCACAAAUAAGGUAUUAUCUCCUUGCAAAAAUGUACAAUGCCCACCAGAUUGCUCUUUGUAAAUGAGCAGAAGUAAUAUACAACUGAAAAAAGAAAAAGAAAUUCUUUUUAAAUUAUUGCAAUUGUAAGUAGUCACCAUUGCACCAUUGCUAAAACAAAUAACCACUUUGCCCAUGUUUUCUGUUAAUCUUUUAGUAUAGUUUUCAUUUUGGUAGAGGGGAAUGAUUUGUGGGCGUGAAGGUCAUGUUAUUUUCUUAACCCCAGCUAUGUACUCACUUAUGUCUCAAAACCAUGAACAGCAGGACCCAGAAACCAUGGUCAGGCUGAACAGGAACAUGGUGAGGGAGCUGUAUGUUUAGUCUACUGCUCAGAACCAGCCUCCUUCUGUUUCUACACCUCGCUUUCCUGGUGGGAAUUCCAGGGGUCAGAAAAUAAAAGUCCUGCCAUGUGUUUCCUCCACCCAUGAACUCAGCCAGCUGAUUUCACAAAUGAGUUCUAGCUCCUGGCUGAAGAAUUGUGCUAUUGAGCAAAUCAGGGUGAUUGGAACAAAAUGCUGUGGAGGACUUUUACUUUCUAAACUUAAUUUUUUCCACCACAGGUUCUUCAUGGCCAGUCUAAAUGCAAUUAUUGUAAAUUAAUCUUUUUGAUUGUCCCUCCCUGGUGAGAAACUCAAGGGAACAGUAUUCCAACUUCCUACCCAGAACUCUUGGCCUCUACAUAGCCCUAAUGCUGCUGACCCAAUCUUCUGCCGAGAUAGCCCUUCUAAGUCUUAAAUAAAAUCAGAGAUGUACACAUCUGACCUUGCUCCAUCAAUGUAGACCGAUUCAUUUUUCAUUAAAGUGCAGAAAGACUUGGUAAGCACAUUCUCCCUUCUGCGCAUUCCAUUAUAAAAUUUUAUCAGCUUCAUGUCAAGGCUAUAAGGCAAUGCUCCAGAUGCAAAAAUAAUUAUAGUAGUGGUUGCUAGCGAAUUGCAAUAUAGUGUCACAUGAAUAGUUUUUGUAUGCAGUGUCACUUAAGAAAGCUUCUUCCUGCUUGUACACUCCUGACUCAUACAACAGGGAUGGCCAAAUUGGGUCUAUUACCAGGCGUACCUUGAACAUUCGUCAUCUAUGGAAUUAAUAGUGAUAUUAUGGGCCAUUUUCUGAAGUAUGUGUAAAGUGUGAGAUUUUUUCAUAAAAUGUUGCAUAAAAUGAUAUGGUUUCUGGAGUUUAUCGUGUCAAUGACCCUGUUUCCAGGAUUUGAUGCUAGCCAGGGCAUGGAGGAAGGGUGGCUCCCUACCCUGCUGCUCCUUCGAGACUACAACAUCCCCGCACUCUUCACCAUGUUGACUGAGGAGGAGCUGAACUAUUCCCUGCAGAUCAUUGCAGAGCUGGAGAUGCACGUCA